rnacentral:rRNA from 1 species
UAAGGAAUAUUGGUCAAUGGAGGCAACUCUGAACCAGCCAUGCCGCGUGCAGGAAGACGGCCCUCUGGGUUGUAAACUGCUUUUAUUCGGGAAUAAACCUAUCUGCGUGUAGAUAGCUGAAUGUACCGAAGGAAUAAGGAUCGGCUAACUCCGUGCCAGCAGCCGCGGUAAUACGGAGGAUCCAAGCGUUAUCCGGAUUUAUUGGGUUUAAAGGGUGCGUAGGCGGCCUAUUAAGUCAGGGGUGAGAGACGGUAGCUCAACUAUCGCAGUGCCCUUGAUACUGAUGAGCUUGAAUGAACUAGAGGUAGGCGGAAUGUGACAAGUAGCGGUGAAAUGCAUAGAUAUGUCACAGAACACCGAUUGCGAAGGCAGCUUACUAUGGUUUUAUUGACGCUGAGGCACGAAAGCGUGGGGAUCAAACA